UCCGUAGGUGGAUAAUUAAGUCAGGGGUGAAAGUCUGCAGCUCAACUGUAGAAAUGCCUUUGAUACUGGUUAUCUUGAAUUAUUAUGAAGUAGUUAGAAUAUGUAGUGUAGCGGUGAAAUGCAUAGAUAUUACAUAGAAUACCAAUUGCGAAGGCAGAUUACUAAUAAUAUAUUGACACUGAUGGACGAAAGCGUGGGGAGCGAACAGGAUUAGAUACCCUGGUAGUCC
rnacentral:rRNA from 1 species